rnacentral:rRNA from 1 species
UACGAACCGUCCUAACGUUAUUCGGAAUCACUGGGCUUAAAGGGUGCGUAGGCGGCCUGGUAAGUUGGGUGUGAAAUCCCUCGGCUUAACCGAGGAAUUGCGCUCAAGACUGCCCGGCUCGAGGGAGACAGAGGUGAGCGGAACUUAGGGUGGAGCGGUGAAAUGCGUUGAUAUCCUAAGGAACACCGGUGGCGUAAGCGGCUCACUGGGUCUUUUCUGACGCUGAGGCACGAAAGCUAGGGGAG